AGUGAAGUGCAACCAAUGGCGCAAUAUCGUACCGUGUUGCUGUGGUACGUAAAAGACUUUACGUCUAAAGAUCGCAAAUCCCUGCGCAUUAACAUAGAAUUCGAUCACGCGACUUUGAUACGCUGGUCCCCCGAUGGAAAGGCAUUCAUCAUUCAUAAAGCCGUUGCCAAUGCCAUCGAGGUGUACAAGAUCGCGAAGAAACCGGAUGGUCACUUAGCUUCUGCGACUAAAGCUCUCGAAUUUCCUCAGCGUCACACUGAGGAUGUCGUUGGAAUGGAUAUCGCGUGCACGGGGAAAUACAUCAUCACGUGUAGUAAAGUGAAUGAUCUUAUUAUAUGGGACUUGAAGGGACAGACGCUGGCUACGGUGGAGAUGCAUCAAGGAUCCACUUAUCGCGCACGGAUAUCACCUUGCGGCCGAUUCGUUGCUGCCUCGGGCUUUACACCAGAUGUGAACAUAUGGGAAGUGGUCUUCAGCAAAUCCGGAGAGUUUAAGACGGUGGCUAAGGCGUUCAACCUCGCUGGACACACGUCCGGGGUUUACGACUUCGGUUUUAGCGCUGAUACCAGCCACAUGGCCACUGUGUCCAAGGACGGGACGUAUCGUUUUUAUAACACAAAAAUCGAAUUUGAAAAAGGGGAAGAUCCGCACGUUUUGACGACUGGCACCUGGGACACUACGGUACCAGCAAGCCUCGCCUUAUCUCCGAACGCGGAAGUCCUCGUGAUCGCUCAUGGAUCGUCAAUAUCCUUCUAUUCUACCAUUACCGGUGUUCUGGAUACCACCAUAGAAGAUAUCUUUCUCGGGCCCAUAACAUGCCUGGCAUUCGACGCUAUGGGAGAAUAUCUAUUGGCUGCGGGCGAUAAACACAUCAAGAUUUUCCAUAAUGUCACUGGAUACCGUACCGCAAUAGAGUCUGCUAAACGCAAACUGGAGCAGCGGCAGACACAGGCGACAAAGGAACGCCUAGAAAAGAUGAUUCGCGAUAACAAGGAAUUGCUCGAGAAGAUAGGAGAGAAAUGUCCAAAAUGACAUCAAUUCGCUUUCCCUCCUACAUCGACUUUUUUUACGAAGAGAUUGAUUAAAGAAAUAAAUGAAAUUAUUAUCUCGGGGUUUAAUGCUUUCUGUCAUAAUCAUGUAAAUAAUUAAUACAUGAAUUUAUCUAUUUUCUGCAAAUAAAAAUAAUUUUCGUAUGCAUGAACCAUUACUAAAUGUUUAAUUCUUAAUGUCGUCUACAAUGAAUUUACAUGUACUUACAAUUUUACGAAGUAAAUUUUGGAAAUCUGUGUAAGCGACAUUGGGAAUAAACUUUUUCAAAUUAAUAAAAUCUAAUUCUUUCUGUAUUUUUUCAGCUCAUGUUUCUGAAUACCCCAAAACUUCAAACUCGUAUUCCAUUUGAUGCAAUAUAAUAAAAAUUGUAUGCAAUGCCAAAAAGACUAUAAAUAUAUAUAUUUUUUCAUUUUCUAUUUGAAUAAAAUAGAUUAAUUAAAAGAUAUUUUUAGUAUUCUAUAUUUCUCUCGAAUUCUAUCACAUAAGUGAAUGGAAUUGUUAUUCAAUUGCAAAUUAACAUUUUAGCUAAAAAAAUUAGCUUAUAGCUGUAAUUGAUACAGAAUUGCUAUAUAUUAUAGAUUGUCAAAGACGUUGUCACUGUUUAAACAAUUUUUAUUGUUACCGUAGUAUUUUGACUACCAUGUGCCCAGGAUAAUUACAGAUUUAUUUUAUAAGAUUUGUAUAGCAUUAACAUACAGAUUCGGAACUUCGCGUAUUUUAUGUUCUUAUUUUAUAUAUUCUCGUACGGUGCUACUUUUGCUCUCUUUUUUUUGACAAGAUUGUGGCCUUCUAUUAACAAACUACAAAAAAUUUCUUUAUAAUAGGUAAACUAUGUACAAAAUAGUAUCCUUGGCAUCGUGAGUUGCAAACUGUAAGUCUCGGAGAUGGAACGCGCGACCACGCACGAUCGCUCACGUUCAAGAACACGUUUUUGCGUAAUUUUUGGAUAAAUGUGUCUGACAUUCGAUGAACAAUGCGUAACUUAAAGAAUAUUAUAAAUUUAUGGUAUUUAUACUACCUUAGGCUAAGAAAAAAAAA
rnacentral:lncRNA from 1 species